GACAGAGGGCGUGGGUGUUAUUCGUUUUGAUUGGGUGUAAAGGGUACGUAGGUGGUUUCUGGUUUUUUGGCCAAAAGAGCAGAGUGUUCCUGUGCGAAGGCCUUUUAAGAAAGAAACUUGAGUAGGAUAGUGGUUGGGGUAAAUUCUUAAGUAGGGGUAAAAUCCUGAGAUAUGAGAAUGAACGUCAGCAAGCGAAGGCGCUUUUCCAGAUUCUACUGGCACUAAGGUACGGAAGCUUAGGGAGCAAACGGG
rnacentral:rRNA from 1 species